CCUACGGGAGGCAGCAGUGAGGAAUAUUGGUCAAUGGCCGCAAGGCUGAACCAGCCAAGUCGCGUGAGGGAUGACGGUCCUAUGGAUUGUAAACCUCUUUUGUCAGGGAGCGAAGGGCGCCACGUGUGGCGUUUUACGCGUACCUGAAGAAAAAGCAUCGGCUAACUCCGUGCCAGCAGCCGCGGUAAUACGGAGGAUGCGAGCGUUAUGCGGAUUUAUUGGGGUUAAAGGGUGCGCAGGCGGAAUGUCAAGUCAGCGGUAAAAUUUCGGGGCUCAACCCCGUCGUGCCGUUGAAACUGGCGGUCUGGAGUGAGCGAGAAGUAGGCGGAAUGCGUGGUGUAGCGGUGAAAUGCAUAGAUAUCACGCAGAACUCCGAUUGCGAAGGCAGCAUGCCGGAGCUCAACUGACGCUCAUGCACGAAAGCGUGGGUAUCGAACAGGAUUAGAUACCCUUGUAGUC
rnacentral:rRNA from 1 species